rnacentral:rRNA from 1 species
UGCGUAGGCGGCGCGGUAAGUCGGGUGUGAAAUCUCGGAGCUUAACUCCGAAACUGCAUUCGAUACUGCCGUGCUUGAGGACUGGAGAGGAGACUGGAAUUUACGGUGUAGCGGUGAAAUGCGUAGAUAUCGUAAGGAAGACCAGUGGCGAAGGCGGGUCUCUGGACAGUUCCUGACGCUGAGGCAAGGCCAGGGGAGCGAAACG